rnacentral:rRNA from 1 species
UGCGUAGGUGGUUUCUUAAGUCAGAGGUGAAAGGCUACGGCUCAACCGUAGUAAGCCUUUGAAACUGGGAAACUUGAGUGCAGGAGAGGAGAGUGGAAUUCCUAGUGUAGCGGUGAAAUGCGUAGAUAUUAGGAGGAACACCAGUUGCGAAGGCGGCUCUCUGGACUGUAACUGGCACUGAGGCACGAAAGCGUGGGGAGCAAACA